rnacentral:rRNA from 1 species
GAUGAACGCUGGCGGCGUGCCUAAUACAUGCAAGUCGAGCGAACGGACGAGAAGCUUGCUUCUCUGAUGUUAGCGGCGGACGGGUGAGUAACACGUGGAUAACCUACCUAUAAGACUGGGAUAACUUCGGGAAACCGUAGCUAAUACCGGAUAAUAUUUUGAACCGCAUGGUUCAAAAGUGAAAGACGGUCUUGCUGUCACUUAUAGAUGGAUCCGCGCUGCAUUAGCUAGUUGGUAAGGUAACGGCUUACCAAGGCAACGAUGCAUAGCCGACCUGAGAGGGUGAUCGGCCAAACUGGAACUGAGACACGGUCCAGACUCCUACGGGAGGCAGCAGUAGGGAAUCUUCCGCAAUGGGAGAAAGCCUGACGGAGCAACGCCGCGUGAGUGAUGAAGGUCUUCGGAUCGUAAAACUCUGUUAUUAGGGAAGAACAUAUGUGUAAGUAACUGUGCACAUCUUGACGGUACCUAAUCAGAAAGCCACGGCUAACUACGUG